rnacentral:rRNA from 1 species
GUACCUUUACCUGGAUAACCGUGGUAAUUCUAGAGCUAAUACAUGCUAAAAACCUCGACUUCGGAAGGGGUGUAUUUAUUAGAUAAAAAACCAAUGCCCUUCGGGGCUCCUUGGCGAUUCAUAAUAACUCAACGAAUCGCAUGGCCUUGCGCCGGCGAUGGUUCAUUCAAAUUUCUGCCCUAUCAACUUUCGAUUGUAAGAUAGUGGCUUACAAUGGUCUUUACGGGUAACGGGGAAUUAGGGUUCUAUUCCGGAGAGGGAGCCUGAGAAACGGCUACCACAUCCAAGGAAGGCAGCAGGCGCGCAAAUUACCCAAUCCCGACACGGGGAGGUAGUGACAAUAAAUACUGAUACAGGGCUCAUAAGGGUCGUGUAAUUGGAAUGAGUACAAUCUAAAUCCCUUAACGAGGAACAAUUGGAGGGCAAGUCUGGUGCCAGCAGCCGCGGUAAUUCCAGCUCCAAUAGCGUAUAUUAAAGUUGUUGCCGUUAAAAAGCUCGUAGUUGAACCUUGGGCCUGGCUGAUCUGUCCUCCUAAUCGAGCGCACGGACUCGGUCGGGCCUUUCCUUCUGGGGAGCCCG